rnacentral:ncRNA from 10 species
AUCGUUCAUCCCCUAGGGGACGGAAGUAAGCGAAAGCUGAAGGAACGCGCA